GAUGAACGCUGGCGGCGUGCUUAACACAUGCAAGUCGAACGGCAAAUAUUUCAUUGAGACUUCUGUGGAUUUGCUUUAUUUCUAGUGGCGGACGGUUGAUUAACGCGUGGGUAACCUUCCUUAUUCAGGGGGAUAACAUUCAGAAAUUGCUGCUAAUACCGCAUAAGCGCACACAGCUGCAUGUCUCAGUGUGAACAACUCCGGUGGUAUAAGAUGGACCCGCUUUGGAUUAGCUAGUUGGUGGGGUAACGGCCCACCACGGCGACGAUCCAUAGCCGGCAUGAGAGGGUGAACGGACACAUUGGGACUGGGAAGCGGCCGAGACUACUACGGGAGGCAGCAGUGGGGAAUAUUGCAAAAUGGGGGAAACGAUGAAGGAGCGACGGCGCGUGAAGGAAGAAGUAGGUAGGGAAGAAAACUUCUAUAAGCAGGGAAGAUAGUGACGGUACCUGAAUAAGAAGCCCCGGCUAACUACGUG
rnacentral:rRNA from 1 species